CCUACGGGAUGCAGCAGUCGAGAAUCAUUCACAAUGGGGGAAACCCUGAUGGUGCGACGCCGCGUGGGGGAAUGAAGGUCUUCGGAUUGUAAACUCCUGUCAUGUGGGAGCAAAUUAAAAAGAUAGUACCACAAGAGGAAGAGACGGCUAACUCUGUGCCAGCAGCCGCGGUAAUACAGAGGUCUCAAGCGUUGUUCGGAAUCACUGGGCGUAAAGCGUGCGUAGGCUGUUUCGUAAGGCGUGUGUGAAAGGCGCGGGCUCAACCCGAGGACGGCACAUGAUACUGGGAGACUAGAGUAAUGGAGGGGGAGCCGGAAGUCUCGGUGUAGCAGUGAAAUGCGUAGAUAUCGAGAGGAACACUCGUGGCGAAGGCGGGUUCCUGGACAUUAACUGACACUGAGGCUCGAAAGUGUGGGUAUCAAACAGGAUUAGAUACCCCUGUAGUC
rnacentral:rRNA from 1 species